rnacentral:rRNA from 1 species
CCUACGGGGGGCAGCAGUGAGGAAUAUUGGUCAAUGGCCGGAAGGCUGAACCAGCCAUGCCGCGUGAAGGUCAGUGCCCUAUGGGCGUUAAACUUCUUUUGUGCGGGAGCAAUAAUGGUCACGUGUGGCCAGACGAGAGUACCGUACGAAUAAGCAUCGGCUAACUCCGUGCCAGCAGCCGCGGUAAUACGGGGGAUGCAAGCGUUGUCCGGGUUUAUUGGGUUUAAAGGGUGCGUAGGCUGUGAGGUAAGUCAGCGGUGAAAUGCCCCCGCUCAACGGGGUGAAGUGCCAUUGAUACUGGCUUGCUUGAAUGCGGAUGCCGUGGGAGGAAUGUGUGGUGUAGCGGUGAAAUGCAUAGAUAUCACACAGAACACCGAUUGCGAAGGCAUCUCACGAAUCCGCGAUUGACGCUGAUGCACGAAAGCGUGGGUAUCAAACAGGAUUAGAUACCCCUGUAGUC